GAAAUGCGAUAAGUAGUGUGAAUUGAAGAAUUCAGUGAAUCAUCGAAUCUUUGAACGCACAUUGCGCCCUUUGGUAUUCCUUAGGGCAUGCCUGUUCGAGCGUCAUCUAAACCUUCAAGCCCUGCUUGGUGUUGGGUGCCUGUCCCGCCUCCGCGCGCGGACUCACCUCAAAUCCAUUGGCGGCCCCCGCGUCGGCCACGAGCGCAGCAGAAACGCGAACUCGUGAGCCCGUCCGGGCGGCUCCCAGAAGCUACACCCACCCAGUUUGACCUCGGAUCAGGUAGGGAUACCCGCUUAACUUAAGC
rnacentral:misc_RNA from 1 species